UGUAGCAAGGUUAACCGUAUAGGGGAGCCGUAGGGAAACCGAGUCUUAACCGGGCGUUAAGUUGCAGGGUAUAGACCCGAAACCCGGUGAUCUAGCCAUGGGCAGGUUGAAGGUUGGGUAACACUAACUGGAGGACCGAACCGACUAAUGUUGAAAAAUUAGCGGAUGACCUGUGGCUGGGGGUGAAAGGCCAAUCAAACCGGGAGAUAGCUGGUUCUCCCCGAAAGCUAUUUAGGUAGCGCCUCGUGAAUUCAUCUCCGGGGGUAGAGCACUGUUUCGGCUAGGGGGCCAUCCCGGCUUACCAACCCGAUGCAAACUGCGAAUACCGGAGAAUGUUAUCACGGGAGACACACGGCGGGUGCUAACGUCCGUCGUGAAGAGGGAAACAACCCAGACCGCCAGCUAAGGUCCCAAAGUCAUGGUUAAGUGGGAAACGAUGUGGGAAGGCCCAGACAGCCAGGAUGUUGGCUUAGAAGCAGCCAUCAUUUAAAGAAAGCGUAAUAGCUCACUGGUCGAGUCGGCCUGCGCGGAAGAUGUAACGGGGCUAAACCAU
rnacentral:rRNA from 4 species